ACACUCCUGCGGGAGGCAGCAGUGGGGAAUUUUGGACAAUGGGCGAAAGCCUGAUCCAGCAAUGCCGCGUGAGUGAAGAAGGCCUUCGGGUUGUAAAGCUCUUUUGUCAGGGAAGAAACGGUGAAAGCUAAUAUCUUUUGCUAAUGACGGUACCUGAAGAAUAAGCACCGGCUAACUACGUGCCAGCAGCCGCGGUAAUACGUAGGGUGCAAGCGUUAAUCGGCAUUACUGGGCGUAAAGCGUGCGCAGGCGGUUUUGUAAGUCUGAUGUGAAAUCCCCGGGCUCAACCUGGGAAUUGCAUUGGAGACUGCAAGGCUAGAAUCUGGCAGAGGGGGGUAGAAUUCCACGUGUAGCAGUGAAAUGCGUAGAUAUGUGGAGGAACACCGAUGGCGAAGGCAGCCCCCUGGGUCAAGAUUGACGCUCAUGCACGAAAGCGUGGGGAGCAAACAGGAUUAGAAACCCCAGUAGUCCCA
rnacentral:rRNA from 1 species